GCUUGUCUCAAAGAUUAAGCCAUGCAUGUCUAAGUAUAAGCAUUAUACAGUGAAACUGCGAAUGGCUCAUUAUAUCAGUUAUAGUUUAUUUGAUAGUCCCUGCUAUUUGGAUAACCGUAGUAAUUCUAGAGCUAAUACAUGCACAAAGCACGCCUCACGGCGUGUGUAUUUAUUAGAUACAAUCGACCCUUCGGGUUUUGAUGAGUCAUAAUAACUGAACUAAGCGCAUGCAUUUGCGGCGCUGUUUCAUUCAAGUUUCUGCCCUAUCAGCUUUCGAUGGUAGGGUAUUGGCCUACCAUGGCGUUAACGGGUAACGGAGAAUUAGGGUUCGAUUCCGGAGAGGGAGCCUGAGAGAUGGCUACCACAUCCAAGGAAGGCAGCAGG
rnacentral:rRNA from 1 species